AGGACGAACGCUUGCGACGUGCCUAAGAAAUGCAAGUCGAACGGACAGUAGCAAUACUGUUAGUGGCGAACGGUCGCGUAACACGUGGGCAACCUGCCCCGAAGCGGGGGACAACAAUCCGAAAGGAUUGCUAAUACCGCAUGUGAAUCGUGGUGGCAUCACCAAGGAUUCAAAGCCGCAAGGCACUUCGGGAUGGGCCCGCGGCCUAUCAGCUAGUUGGAGAGGUAACGGCUCACCAAGGCUUCGACGGGUAGCUGGUCUGAGAGGACGGCCAGCCGGAUUGGGACUGAGAUACGGCCCAGACUCCUACGGGGGGCAGCAAUUAGGAAUCUUGCGCAAUGGGCGAAAGCCUGACGCAGCGACGUCGCGUGAAGGAUGAAAUCUUUCGGGAUGUAAACUUCUUUUACCAGGGAAGAAUUUUGACGGUACCUGGUAAAUAAGCCCGGCUAACUACGCGCCAGCAGCCGC
rnacentral:rRNA from 1 species